ACGAAGCCUGGCUGGCGGUGAGCCGCGGGGUCGACGCCCUGACCGUCCAGGGACCUGCAGCGGGUGGACACCGUGGCACGUUCGAUCCGGGUGCUUCGCCC
rnacentral:tRNA from 1 species